UUCAGGUGAAAUCUUGGAGAAUUAGAAGAACUCAAAGCACACUGUUGCUUGGGUUCCUUUCCAUCACCCUUAUAUGAACUGUGUUGCCACGAUACAAAUCUGACAAUGAAUAUGGAAAUGUCUUAGUGAUGUGUUGUGUUCUUGUGAUAUGAAGAAAAUGGAUCCAGUACCGGUCAUGAUACAUAGCACAAGUGCGUCUUAAUGACAGUGGAAAUGUCACCGAAACAACGUAACAUCAUUUUUGAGGCCAUAUUCUGGAGACUAAUAUAGCAUGGGGAGUUGCUGGUUGUUGUAGGAGUGUGUCAUCCUGAAUAGAAUUCAGCCGCAAUGUGUCAAUUCAAACUGAAUGAGCAGGCAAAUUUAGUGGAAUCUGGUGAAGAGUGUUGGUGAAAAUUGAUCUACUCCUGGGUAUGUAAGAGAGACAUACAUGGUCGUAUUGACAGUGGAAAUGAUACCGCCACAACCUUCCAACAUUUACGAGGUGAAAUCUUGGAGAAUUAGAAGACCUGGAAGGAGAUUGCUGCUUGGGGUUCUUUGCAUCGCCCUUAUAUGAACUGUGUUGCCACAAUACAAAUGUGACAAUGAAUAUGGAAAUCCUUCAGUGAUGUCUUGUGUUGUUGAGAUAUGAAGAAAAUGGAUCCAGUACUGGUCAUGAUACAUAGCACAAGUACGUCUUAAUGACAGUGGAAAUGUCACCGCCACACCGUAAAAUCAUUUUUGAGGCACUGCAGUUCCAAUAGACGGGUACCUGCCGCAAACUCCCACGCAUGGAAAGUG